CAAUUAGCUUCCUAACUUUUAUUAUUCAUUUUAAUUAAAUUAGUAUCAAUAAUUUAAAAAAUAAAUUGAACCGAUUGAUUCGACUGAUUAUACCUUAACCUAUUUUAUUAAGCGUCUGAGUUCAACCUAUCGAACUGAAUAAGAUUAAGAAUAAUUUGGAACUGUUAAAAAUAAUAAACGUUUUAAACAAGAUAACAUUUUAAACGUCAGAGUUAAUAAAUAUUUUAAACAUAAUUUUAAAUAAAGAGAAAAAAAUUAUCUUUUAAGAUCAUGUUAUCAAAUAAUUUGAAACUUUUCAUAUAUGAAUGAACGAAAUAUAUGUAGAUGAAGAGGAAAGAUACAUAGAAAAA
rnacentral:lncRNA from 1 species